CCUACGCGUGGCAGCAGUGAGGAAUAUUGGUCAAUGGACGAGAGUCUGAACCAGCCAAGUAGCGUGCAGGAUGACUGCCCUAUGGGUUGUAAACUUCUUUUAUAUGGGAAUAAACUGUUCCACGUGUGGGAUUUUGUAUGUACCAUAUGAAUAAGGAUCGGCUAACUCCGUGCCAGCAGCCGCGGUAAUACGGAGGAUCCUAGAGUUAUCCGGAUUUAUUGGGUUUAAAGGGAGCGUAGGUGGAUUGUUAAGUCAGUUGUGAAAGUUUGCGGCUCAACCGUAAAAUUGCAGUUGAAACUGGCAGUCUUGAGUACAGUAGAGGUGGGCGGAAUGCGUGGUGUAGCGGUGAAAUGCUUAGAUAUCACGAAGAACUCCGAUUGCGAAGGCAGUUCACUGGACUGCAACUGACACUGAGGCUCGAAAGUGUGGGUAUCAAACAGGAUGAGAUACCCGGGAAGUC
rnacentral:rRNA from 1 species